GCCCCACCGUAAAAUAUUAACCCACAUUAACCAACGCCAGGGUAUUACGAGCUUAGCUUAAAACCCAAAGGACUUGACGGUGUCCCACCCAACUAGAGGAGCCUGUUCUAUAAUCGAUAACCCCCGAUUUACCUAACCCCAUUUUGCCACUCAGCCUGUAUACCUCCGUCGCAAACUUACCAUAUGAAUGUUCACAGUAAGUACAAUGGUCUCAACACCAACACGUCAGGUCAAGGUGCAGCUUAUGAUAGGGGAAGCAAUGGGCUACAAUUUCUAAUAUAGAACACACGAAAUACUGCAUGAAACACAGCUAUGAAGGCGGAUUUAGAAGUAAAAAGAAAAUAAUGUGUUCCUUUUAACAAGGCCCUGGGACGUGUACACACCGCCCGUCACCCUCUUCAAUAGUUCCUCACAUGUUCGUAACAACUUUAUACAUCUUAGAAGAGGCAAGUCGUAACAUGGUAAGUGUACCGGAAGUGCACUUGGAUAAACAAAAUAUAGCUUAA
rnacentral:rRNA from 1 species